rnacentral:lncRNA from 1 species
CCCGCCCCCGCCCCCGCCGCGGCUCCUCGGGCGGCACCAGCUCCGGGCCGGGCGGAGCUGGUGGUCGCAGUGGUAGGAGGAGGACGAGGCGACGGUGGUGGUGGACACGAGCGCCAUGCCGCCGCGGCGGUGGAGUGGGAGUGGGGGUUUUGGAUUUCACCACCCACCUGGAUUUCGGGGGGAGAGAUUUUUCCGCUCCCUGCCGAAGUGGAUAGACUCUCUCUGCCUCCUUGAGACUUGAGAGAGAAGGGGAAGGUGGGACCAUACCGGGAGGAGGAGAGUCCGACCCGCUACGGCAAGAGCCUGAGCCUGACCCAAUAACCCGUUCCCCACGAGUCCUGGACCAGAAGUCCGUCCAGAACAGCAGCAGCAGCACCAUGGCGGCCGCCCCCCUCCCCCCUCCUCCUCCCAUCGNNNNCCUCCCAUCGCCGCCGCCGCCCCCGCCCCCCGGGACUAGAUCCGCGCCCCCUCCUCCCCGGCUGCGCCAUCCGCUACUCCUCCGGGCAGGUUCGGUUUCGGUUUCUGUUUCUGUUUCCCCCUUUGGUUUGUGGAGAGCUCUCCAGAUACGUUUGUGAACGUGCGAUUCGUGCGCGCGCUGCAGCGGGGGACGCGGCGAUCUUGAUCUUGCGGCGGGGGGGGCUUCAUCGUAUCUCGCGGUUCCGGAAGGGGAAGGUGGGACCAUACCGGGAGGAGGAGAGUCCGACCCGCUACGGCAAGAGCCUGAGCCUGACCCAAUAACCCGUUCCCCACGAGUCCUGGACCAGAAGUCCGUCCAGAACAGCAGCAGCAGCACCAUGGCGGCCGCCCCCCUCCCCCCUCCUCCUCCC